AGCGAACGCUGGCGGCAGGCCUAACGCAUGCAAGUCGAACGAACUCUUCGGAGUUAGUGGCGGACGGGUGAGUAACACGUGGGAACGUGCCUUUAGGUUCGGAAUAACUCAGGGAAACUUGUGCUAAUACCGAAUGUGCCCUUCGGGGGAAAGAUUUAUCGCCUUUAGAGCGGCCCGCGUCUGAUUAGCUAGUUGGUGAGGUAAAGGCUCACCAAGGCGACGAUCAGUAGCUGGUCUGAGAGGAUGAUCAGCCACAUUGGGACUGAGACACGGCCCAAACUCCUACGGGUGGCAGCAGUGGGGAAUCUUGCGCAAUGGGCGAAAGCCUGACGCAGCCAUGCCGCGUGAAUGAUGAAGGUCUUAGGAUUGUAAAAUUCUUUCACCGGGGACGAUAAUGACGGUACCCGGAGAAGAAGCCCCGGCUAACUUCGUGCCAGCAGCCGCCGUAA
rnacentral:rRNA from 1 species